GCCGGGCGCAGUGGCCCACGCCUGUCAUCCCAGCGGCUUGGGAGGCUGAGGCAGGAGGAUCGCAAGGUGGAGGCCAGCCUCAGCCACUU
rnacentral:sRNA from 1 species